rnacentral:rRNA from 1 species
UACGGAAGGCAGCAGUGGGGAAUAUUGCACAAUGGGCGAAAGCCUGAUGCAGCUAUGCCGCGUGUAUGAAGAAGGCCUUAGGGUUGUAAAGUACUUUCAUCGGGGAGGAAAAAACAAAACUAAUAAUUUUAUUUCUUGACGUUACCCGAAAAAGAAGCACCGGCUAACUCCGUGCCAGCAGCCGCGGUAAUACGGAGGGUGCUAGCGUUAAUCAGAAUUACUGGGCGUAAAGAGCACGUAGGUGGUUUUUUUAAAGUCAGAUGUGAAAUCCCUGGGCUUAACCUAGGAACUGCAUUUUGAAACUGAAAUACUAGAGUAUCGUAGAGGGAGGUAGAAUUCUAGGUGUAGCGGUGAAAUGCGUAGACCUAUCUGGAGGAAUACCUGUGGCGAAAGCGGCCUCCUAAACGAAUACUGACACUGAGGUGCGAAAGCGUGGGGAGCAAACAGGGAUUAGAUACC